UAGGGAAUCUUCCGCAAUGGGCGAAAGCUUGACGGAGCAACGUCGCGUGAGUGAUGAAGGUCUUCGGAGCGUAAAACUCUGUUAUUAGGGAAGAACAAAUGUGUAAGUAACUAUGCACGUCUUGACGGUACCUAAUCAGAAAGCCACGGCUAACUACGUGCCAGCAGCCGCGGUAAUACGUAGGUGGCAAGCGUUAUCCGGAAUUAUUGGGCGUAAAGCGCGCGUAGGCGGUUUUUUAAGUCUGAUGUGAAAGCCCACGGCUCAACCGUGGAGGGUCAUUGGAAACUGGAAAACUUGAGUGCAGAAGAGGAAAGUGGAAUUCCAUGUGUAGCGGUGAAAUGCGCAGAGAUAUGGGGGAACACCAGUGGCGAAGGCGACUUUCUGGUCUGUAACUGACGCUGAUGUGCGAAAGCGUGGAGAUCAAACAGG
rnacentral:rRNA from 1 species